UGCUAUAGAUAAAAUCUUGUCAGAAGCUGGCAGAAAGGAAUGAUAUGGCACUACAUAGUGUUAUUAGAAAUCUGAGAUAGACACCGGAGUUAAGGCAAGUAUAUAUCCAACCUACUUUCUCUUUAAAAGAUUUUGCUCCUGCAAUGCUUUGUUAUGCUUUGAAUAUUGCAAAACUCCUUAUAGAAUUAGACUUCUACUAAUUAACUAGUAUUCUGGAAUUACCCAAGUAUGAAAUGGAAUACCCUUUGUCACUUAUAUCAUGCAAAUGUAUCAGCUUAAUUAUCAUCCUUAUCUUCUUCAACUGCCAGAUACUUAAUAUUGAGCUUAUAACUUUGUUUUCUUACCUCCCUCUCAACUACAACAAAUUGUGUUCUUGCUUAUAAACUAGUUCACUUGUUUGUUUCUGACUCAUAAAUCAAACCCUAUUUCUUGAAAGACCUUAGUUAUCAUCAUACAACCUACCCUGCCAUUAUUAUAAAAUACAUUGAUACACUUGAUUCAGUAACCUGUACCCUUGAUAAAGAAUACUUAAUUAGUAGAAAUCUAAUGCUAAGGUGUUGAAAUGAAUAUUUGGUUGAGAAUCAUUGUUGCUUACAGAUUUUGAACCUUGGUUUAAAAUGAAAAAAUGAAUUGAUUUAUCUGUUUUAGAAAGGGAAUUGGAUGAAAAUGUUUUAUGACCGAGGCGCCGGUCCCAAUUGAAUUAUUAAAGGCCAAAGUGUGCCUAGGAUCCUUUAUAUUUGAGAACUCGUAUUGAAUAUGCGGGUUCGGAGCUAUGUCGUGGGCUGAUCACCCAGCUUAGCUCGUAGCGUCUUAUCUGGUUCCAAUUCCAUAAAGAAGAAACUGUUUUGUUUAAAUCAUAUUGUGUUGGUAUCAUUAUCUUUAUAUCAUUGUUGGUUUGGAUAUUAUAUACUUGCUGAGCAUUCUUUUGCUCAUUCUUGCUAUUUCUUCUAACCCCUUUCAGAUAAUGUUAAAGAUGGUUCGCCUAUUUAGGCUAAGCAUAAGAGUAAGGCUAGGCGAGGAUUGCAAGUGACUAAGUUUCAACCUGAUGGUCAGGAAGAGUAUCCAAGAUCGAGUCUUUGGGACUAGUGGUAAUUAGAGUUGUCUGAAUUUGAUUUAGUUGUAAAAGCAUGUAAUAAGAUUUAUUAGUUUUACUUUUCUGAUUUCAAUAAUAU
rnacentral:lncRNA from 1 species